rnacentral:lncRNA from 1 species
GGUUUCUAAGUCUAAGUUAGUUAAAUGGUUUCACAGUGUUAGAUAUUAUUUUGUUAGGGACUUUGAAUAUUAGUUAAAGUUUGUCAUGAUUUUAGUUAGUUGGAUUGUAAGUUGUUGGGGCAGUUAGUGAUUAUGUUAUGUGAAUGUUAGUUUAACUAGUGUCUUUGUUAGAAAUCAAUGUCAACCUCAGUUCAAAUGGUGGUUUGCUAUAGUUAGAAAAAUGAAAUGUG